GAAGGGAGCUUGCUCCCGGAUGUUAGCGGCGGACGGGUGAGUAACACGUGGGUAACCUGCCUGUAAGACUGGGAUAACUCCGGGAAACCGGAGCUAAUACCGGAUAGUUCCUUGAACCGCAUGGUUCAAGGAUGAAAGACGGUUUCGGCUGUCACUUACAGAUGGACCCGCGGCGCAUUAGCUAGUUGGUGAGGUAACGGCUCACCAAGGCGACGAUGCGUAGCCGACCUGAGAGGGUGAUCGGCCACACUGGGACUGAGACACGGCCCAGACUCCUACGGGAGGCAGCAGUAGGGAAUCUUCCGCAAUGGACGAAAGUCUGACGGAGCAACGCCGCGUGAGUGAUGAAGGUUUUCGGAUCGUAAAGCUCUGUUGUUAGGGAAGAACAAGUGCAAGAGUAACUGCUUGCACCUUGACGGUACCUAACCAGAAAGCCACGGCUAACUACGUGCCAGCAGCCGCGGUAAUACGUAGGUGGCAAGCGUUGUCCGGAAUUAUUGGGCGUAAAGGGCUCGCAGGCGGUUUCUUAAGUCUGAUGUGAAAGCCCCCGGCUCAACCGGGGAGGGUCAUUGGAAACUGGGAAACUUGAGUGCAGAAGAGGAGAGUGGAAUUCCACGUGU
rnacentral:rRNA from 1 species